AUGGGGGACGUGUCCACGAUUCAACACCCAUCCGACACUGUUGCCAAGCAGGGUGAUCAGGUUGGGGGGCCGGUUUUGGCCGGAUGGACCAACGACACCCACAACUACGUCGGCUCCAUGGAGGCGUCCUUCAUGCAGCAGCUCCGUGGCCAGCAGCACCACCACCACCACGCCUCCGACAAGAGCAUGAUCCAUGUGGGUAGUGGCCAUGGAGCCUCUAAUAACCUCGGGUCUAAUAAGAACGUGCCUCGCCCGCAUGAUGUUGGUGCACGAGGCCUGCCAGGGGAUCCGUGGGCGAGGUGUUUCAAGCCGCGUGAUUCCGCUAUGAAUCGUCAUGGUGAUGGGGUUGGUGCUUCGGAUGGUGAAUCGGGCAUCAAUACAGUUCAAGCGAUGGCUCCGAAGCAUGGAAGAGGACUGAGCACUUGCGUUAGACGUAAUCCUGUUGACAGAACCUCAGGUUGUUACACUUUUCAUCUUGUUUGCUGA
rnacentral:rRNA from 1 species